rnacentral:rRNA from 1 species
UCAGAUUGGUACUGACCAGCUCCUGGCUCCACCUGGGAGAGCGGUUAGUAGGAUUGGCGAGUCGAGGACGAGAUCAGUAACACUGCACUCCUGGUGUAGUGGUGAAAUGCGUAGAUAUCCGGAAGAACACCAAAGGGUAAGGUCAGUGUCCUGUCUGCUACCUGACGUCUGAGGGGCCGAAAGCUAGGGGAGCGAACGGGAUGAUAUACUCCGGUAUUCCUAGCAUAAACGAUGACACUAGGAUGUGCGGGGUAUCGACCCGUCGUGUGCUGCAGCUAUCUCACUAAGUGGUCCGCAGGGGAGUACGGUCGCAAGAUUCAAACUCAGAGGAAUUGACGCGGACCCGCUCAAGCAGCGGAGUGUGUGGUUUAAUUUGACCCGACGCGAAGAACCUUACCAGGGUUUGACAUGCACGUGACUCCUCCAGAGAUAGAGGUCCCUUCGGGGCAGGUGCACAGGUGCUGCAUGGCUGUCGUCAGCUUGUUCCGUGAGGUGUUGGGUUAAGUCCAGCAACGAGCGCAACCCCUGUCGUUGGUUGCACAUGUCUGACGAGACUGUCACGAUCAAUGUGGAGGAAGGCGGGGAUGAUGUUAAGUUAGCACGGCCCUUACGUCGUGGCCUACACACACGGUGCAAUGGCCGCCACAACGGGGAGCCAACCCGCGAGGGGGAGCCAAUCCAGCAAAGGCGGUCUCAGUUCGGAUGGCAGGCUGCAACCCGCCUGCCUGAAGUUGGGGUUGCUAGUAACCGUGAGUCAGCACAUCACGGUGAAUACGUUCCCGGGUCUUGUACACACCGCCCGUCACACCACGAAAGUCGGCAACACCUGAAGCCGCUGGGCUAACCCUUUGGGGGGGCAGGCGUCGAGGGUGGGGUCGGUGAUAGGGGCGAAGUCGUAACAAGGUAACCA